UCCCUGGUGGUCCAGUGGUUAGAACUGGGCACUUCCACUGCCAUGGGCCAGGGUUCAAUCCCUGGUCAGGGAA
rfam:TPA: Bos taurus chromosome 15, whole genome shotgun sequence.